ACACCACACUAAACCUAAUAAUUAAUUCCCACAAAACAUGCAUCAUCAAUCUCGAGCUACUACUCUCACCACUACACUUCACAUCUAAAGUUCAAGCCUGUUGUUUAGCCUCAAUUAUAUACCACUGGUAAAGCAUGCCACAUACUAUACUAGUCCAUCAAAUUGGGAAAUAAACCCAAUACUUCACUUCACUUAGCUACU
rnacentral:lncRNA from 1 species